UUGCCAGCCUCCGCCUGGUGUUGGCUCCGAUCCAUGCCGCGAGGUGGUGAGGUUCCGGGAGCAUGGGGCAGGCUGGCAGGCGCCUGGUUCACUUGGGCCAGUGUCACCUGAUUUGGGCCUGAUUUUACCCAGAGCCAAUUUAAUGAUUUACAGGGAGGAGGCCUGUCGCCAGGCGUCUGCUAGGCCUGCUGUUUGGGAGGACGGGUCAACAGCCCUCCUCCCCUGGUGCGUGGAGGAAAAUUCUAGGCGGUGCUCACGCAGACUCUGGGUGGGGCACGGGCCAGGACAGGGUCUCGCUGAGCUGUGCUGGGUGGAUGGGCUGAGGGACACCCCUCAGGGGUUGAGGGCUGAGAUGACAGCUCAGGUGACUUCCAAGCCUCACUCCCCUUCUGUCUCUCUCUUCCUUUCUCUACCUCUCUCUCCCUCUGGCAACACUCCAUUAAGGCCUAUUUCGCUUGUAACUCUUUUGCAUCUAACGUGCACAGUUCCACAGACAUCCCGGACCGCCUAGAAGUUCAUUCCCAAGCCAGGAUGUGUCUAGGGUCCCCCGGGGGGCGGCCACCACAGGCGCAGAGGACCCCGCAGGCAGGUCCUGGAGCGAGCCCAAGUGCUCCCCCGCCCCCAGCUGGGGCUGGCCGCAGGGGGCUCCCACAGGCCACCCAGUGCAGGCACCUGGGCACCACGGGGACACAACAUCGAGGAGCCUGACAGCAUGGCUGCAGGCUCAGGCUUGGGCCCUGGGCACGCUGGUGCGGACACAUCAGCAACCCGACCCUGCAUGGGGGUGGUUCACGAGCUUUCUCCAAGAAGCUGGAGAAACACAUUUAGGCAGGAAACAGUGCUGCAGGUGGGGGAGGGACCCUCUGCAUGGGGAGCGGCCAGCUCUGGCAGGGGUGAGUGCGCCUGCCCCCCAGGGAAUGGGCCUCUGCCAUCCUCAGGGACCGGGGCGGGGCUGAGGGCACCUGCUCACCAGGAGGGGAUGAGCUGUCUAGAGCACUCAAGUCUCCUGUCCUUCCCUCCUCACCCCUUCCCCCUGCUGCGUGGGUCCCCUAUCCCAGUGGAAGUCAGGCAGACAGCAAGGACCCCUCCCCUGGCCCACUGCUCCCUCCUCCGCCGUCCUGCUAGGGGGCCUCAGCGGAGGGAUGGGGAGCAGGUGGCGAACAAAGCCAAGUUGGCCACCCAGCCCCAGCAAAACACCACACUUGGGGGAUCAGACACUACGGGUUCAAAAGCAGGAGCUGAGACUCAGUUGACAGGAACAAAUACUAAAGCUGAAAUGGCUCACGGAGAGGGUUCUCUCUCUCAGGCCGUCUCUCUCCCGCUCAGGGAGGAGGAGACACAGGAUUUGCACAGAAAGAGGGAAAAGGGGCCAAGGAACAUUCCAAGGCAGCGGCCUGAGCGAUGCGUGCGGCCAGCUCAGGCGGGAGCGCCUACCUCACUCCCGUCCUACCACUGGGAAAAGUCCAGUGCACCCAGCGUCUGGCCUUCGUGACCCACGACACCUCUGGCCAGGCAGGCCCUGGACUUCAACACCUCCCACUGUGCCAGGGAGCCACAGCAAGGUCUUGCCAACCAGCAAGAUAUUUGUGACAGAGUCUGCCAGUGGACGGCUUAAGGAUUUUUUUCUUCUUCAGCGGAUGUGUGGGCUACACCCUUGGAAAGUCAUUCAGAUUUCAACACUUGAAAUUCUUUGAACUGUCAGUUCGGUUGGUCUGAUACAAACCUCUUCCCCAGACCUCGCACAAACUUCGCAAGUGGCUAUGAAACAAACUACAGAAACGGAGUUAUAGGCAUGAAGCUGCAUGUUUUAUCUGCGCUGCAAAUACUUUAGAAAGGAAAUACCUGUUGGAUCAAAUACAUUUAAAAAGCAGGGAAAAUUUUUGUCAAGGGACAGAGAGACGCAGAAGUCAAGUGGAGGAGGGCAGAGAGGGAGACACAGAAUCGGAAGCAGGCUCCAGGUUCCGAACUGUCAGCACAGAACCCGACGCGGGGCUUGAAGCCACGAACCGUGAGAUCACGACCCGAGCUGAAGUCGGACGCUUAACCGACUGAGCCACCCAGGCGCCUCAACAUCCUCUCAAAUUUCAUUUCCUUACUGGAUUUAGAUGCUUUAAGAAUUCACUUAAUACAAUUGUAACCUUCUAAGCAAUGGGCCAUUCCUAAAAUAGCAUUUCAGUUGAUCCUUUGGCAAAAAUAAAUAAACUUCUGGAGCACCUGGGUGGCUCAGUGGGUUAAGCAUCCGACUUCAGCUCAGGUCAUGGUCUCCUGGUCAGUGAGUUCAAGCCCCGCAUUGGGCUCUGUGCUGACAGCUCAGAGCCUGGAGCCUGCUUUAGAUUCUGUGUCUCCCUCUCUCUGCUCCUCUCCCACUCAUGCUCUAUUUCUGUUUCUCAAAAAUGAAUAAACGUUAAAAAAAAAAUAAGAAAAAUAAAUAAACUUUUUUUAAUGUUUAUUUUUGAGAGAGAGGAGAGAACACAAGUGGGGGAGGGGCAGAGAGAGAGGGAGACCCAGAAUCCCAAGCAGGCUCCAGGCUCUGAGCUGUCAGCGCAGAGCCUGACGUGGAGCUCGAACUCACCGACCGUGAGAUCAUGACCUGAACUGAAGGACACUUAACUGACAGAGCAACCAUGGCGCCCCCCCAAAAAUAAAUAAACUGUAAACAAAAACUCUUAGUAAUAUAAGUUUAAUUCUGUUCAAACAAACAAUAAUUGAGUUCAUUUUACGGAUCUACAGGAGAAAACACAAAACAGUAACACACACCCCUACCUUCUAGAAGCUUAUGCUCUAGUAGAAGACAAACUUACCUCUAAUAAAAGUUGUGAGCGAUAAAUGGUAGAAACGAGAGAGUGUAUGUGUGGGAAGUGUGACUGUCUCAUAAGAAUUCAUCUAUUUUUCUAAUUUUGGACUCUCCCUAGUGGGUGUUCUAAAAGCUCACAGUUCUGUAUUCCUUACUUUUGCAAAUUGUCCUACUUAUAAUUUCAUUCAAUGAAAUGCAGAAAUACUAAAAUUUUUUUUUAAAAAUCUAGUUUUUAAAGACAUGUCUUCUGUGACUUUAUGACCUUCACCGUUUCAGACGAUUGAGAAAAUUAUGCGCAUGGAAACAUUGAGCUGGCAAAUGAGACAAUUCCUAAUGCAAUGCUGGCCCGAAAACAAAUAUCAAAGUAGCCCAAAUCCGUGGCACCACAUGAAACCUGUCUGUCCAUUGUUCCCACGCCUUCACCUGGCUUUCUGGGAGGUUCUGGGGUAGUUUGGUUUCUGUUCACCGUCUCCAGUAAUGGCCCACACUCCACCUUUUCCCAAGAGUAAAAACAGUGAAGACAUCCUUCCUGGCUGUGGCGUUGGAGAGGGUGAGCAGGCCAUGGAUUUCAGCACCCACAUUUUUUGGGAAGUGUUUCUUGAUCUUUGAGUGUGUAAACACGAGAGGGGGGGAGGGGCAGAGAGUGAAGGGGAGAGAGAGAGAGAGAGAGAGAGAGAGAGAGAGAAAAUCCCAAGCAGGCUCCGCGUGAAGCCUGAUGCUGGGCUUGAUCUCACAAACGGUAAGAUGGAGACCUGAGCUGAAAUCAAGAGUCAGAGGCUUGACCCGCCGAGCCAGCCAGGUGCCCUAGCACCCACAUCUUUGUGCUUUGUAGCUGGAGGAGGAAGAGGACCCCCUGACAUGCUAGGGACCCUCCUGAGAAGCCCGGCAGGUCCACCAACGGGACUGUUGCUUCGCUGAGCUGCGGAGACAAGAGCCGGAGGGAAGACACCGUUUGUCUGGCGGGAGCCGGCCGGUGGAGGCUGAUGCAUUAUUUCACCUCUUCCCGGAAACUUGUAACAUCUGGGGGUGUGCUGUCACUCACAGACGUUAGUCUCUGGGGGCACCAGGAGCCAAGCGGUCCAUAAACAAAUGUGACAGCUGUCAUACUUCGUGCCUCGCAAAUGGCCACAAUGCUCCUGUGUGUCACAGAGCUGGCAUCUUACCCGGCAGCAAAGGAGGGAGGCUCGAGGGGCCUGGGGCUGCACCCGUCCACACCGAGUAGCAAUCUGGCCCCAACGAUGCCACGUGCCCAGCAAGGAAACGCUGUCCCCGUUUCCGAAUCUCCCGUUUCUGUCGGACGACCGUCUUCCGGUUACGCAAACUCCAUCCCUGUAACCACCUGCGGCUGCUUCUUCCCGCCGAUCCCCGGCAAAUCUAACUCAGCCGCCGAUUCUCUGCUUCUGCCUUUGCAGGCAGUCUGCCGCGUGCCCUUUGACUUCAGCAGCCCCCCGCCCAGGACCUCAUUACCCACAACUGACCCCGGUAUGUGAGUCAUAAUCACCUGUCCCCAAGGUCUGCUCUGCCUUUCACCGCAGCGUGUCUCUGUUCUGCGACGGCUUGGGCCUGACCUCCCCGCGUUCCCCAGCGACUCCACUUCCUGACUGCCCGGAACAUUGCACUCAGCCAUUUGCACCUUCUCCGACUCCCCGGAACACUGAGGGGCUCCACCGAUCUACCGGCCGUACUGUGCCUCGGAUGCCAAUCGCGAUUUUCACCUUGCAUCUCGUUUCUCUGGCUCGGUUGCAAGGUCCGUGGGGCUCUAGCGUGACGUGCAAUGCCUGUAGCUGGGCAAGGGGAACGUGUUCCAUGUGGAGGAACCGUUUGUCCCAACAGUGAGAUGUACUGGGUGGGAAUACACAAGGAAGGAGCUAUUCUGUGUGCGACUUGGAGAGGUGGGUCUGCAACGAUGGGCAAGAGCUUGCCAUGGGGGUGAAGGAAGAGAAGACAUGUAGUAGGGCGCCCUCCCUAAGGAAAGAAAAAGAAGAAGAAAACCCUCAAGGCAAGCUGCUUACACGCGUGUGUGACCACAUCCCUCAUGAGACCUUGUAACAUGAGACCACCUCAUCAGACUGCAUGUUUGUGUGUUCCCACAUAUGGGAGACAAAGAAGUGGAAAAUACGUAAACAACUACGCCACAUGGCGUUUGGGGCUCAGUUCUUCGGGGACGAGCCCAACUGAGCCAGGGCCGGCACGAAUCAAGUUGCUUCCUGGAAGGAAAAGCCUCGGAGUCAUGACUCUCUGUAUUCAUGACUCUCUGUAUGAGACACCUGCUACAAUAUGGGAGAGAGGCAUGAUGGGAGAUUCCUUUGGAGUCAUAGCAGAAGCCAGAGGGUGCUUCAUCGGCUGCAGGAACACCCUGUGGCUCUGUCCUGCGGUCACUCCCACCUGGGCUUCCGCAGGCUGGAGAUGGCACGCUGGCUGUGGGAAGCUGAAGCAAGAAAACUGAGGGGGUUCUUUCUCUUUUGCUUCCCUCUCACAUGGUCCGAGUUUGCUCGUUUGCAAAUAAGUAUUUGACUCUGAACAAGAUGGCUUCUGCCUUGUCUUGUCUUCUUGCAGCCAAGUCCUGGCUCAGAUCUUCCCUUCGGCCACGAGGUCAUCUCGCUGAGUUCUCCAAGCCUCACUUUCCACCCAGCCUGUUUCUGCAAGGGCUACUUCGCGUCAGAUGGCCCCGCAGGACCCUUCGCAGCCGUCAGCCUUCCGGGCGACCCCACCUGGACACGGCCAGCUUGUCCGACUUUUUUCUACAGCUCCUAUUUUCCCAUUUCAUCUUUGUGUCUUCUGUCCCCUGCGGGCACGUAGGCCUUCUGAGGGAUGUCUCUUGGCCAUGAUGGUCACAGGGCUCUGCCUUCUGUUUAUUGGCAUAUCAUGAGUCGAAGGGACAAUUCUAAAGUGGCUUCUGUGGUUUCAGGGGAAAUGGACGUUGCUUUGGAGAAAGGUGUGGGGGCAGGGGGAAAUAACUUCCCCAAAGAUGACAGUCUUUGAGUCCCAAGAGUUGGGCUACCUUGGGGACACACCUAGAAUAGUUUCAUGUGAGAGACGGUGGCAUGGGUGGGGACACACUCAUCUACUUUCGUCCUUCAGCGGCCAGUGCAGGCUGAUUGCAGGGAUCGCAUCAAUUUCCACAGCACACUGGCUGUAACACAGCUCUUUAGUGCACACAGUAGGUGCUCAAUGAAUAAACGCUCACCGUGUGUUUAUAACGAUCGUUUUGGGGGUGCCCGGGUGGCUCAGUCAGUUAAGUGUCCGACUCAGGUCAUGAUCUCGCAGUUGGGGAGUUUGAGACAGCUCAGAGCCUGGAGCCUGCUUUGUUUUCCGUGUCUCCCUCUCUCUCUGCCCCUCCCCUGAUUGCUCUCUGUCUCUCUCUGUGUCUCAAAAAUACUAAUGAAAAAUAAAAUAAAAUAAAAUGAUUGUUUUUAAUUUAAAAGUGUUUUCAUCUAAAAAUAAAUUUAAUGAAUUACCGACACAGGCUACAAUGUGGAUAAGCCUCAAAAACACGCUGAGUGAAAGAAACCAGAGACAGAAGGUCACAUAUCGCAUGAUUUCAUUUCUACGAAAUGUCCAGAAUAGGUAAAUCAUUAGAGACAGAAAGCAGAUUAAUGGUUGCUUGGGGCUGGAGCAAAGGGGGAAUGGAAUGAGGAGUGGCUGUUUAAUGGCUACGAGGUUUCCUUUGGGAAUGAUGAACACGUCCUGCAUCAACAUAGAGGAGAAGGUUGCACAACUCUAUAUAUGUACACGGAAUUGC